rnacentral:rRNA from 1 species
GACGUAGGGCGCGAGCGUUGUCCGGAUUUAUUGGGCGUAAAGAGCUCGUAGGCGGCUCGUUGCGUCGGCUGUGAAAACCCGCAGCUCAACUGUGGGCUUGCAGCCGAUACGGGCGGGCUAGGAUUCGGUAGGGGAGACUGGAAUUCCUGGUGUAGCGGUGAAAUGCGCAGAUAUCAGGAGGAACACCGGUGUCGAAGGCGGGUCUCUGGGCCGAUAUCGACGCUGAGGAGCGAAAGCGUGGGGAGCGAACAGG